rnacentral:lncRNA from 1 species
UGCAGCGCUUCCAGCGGCACCCAAGAGAUAACGACGGGAAACGUCUGCUUCAUGGGAGGCAGUACUUUUCACAACUGUGUGUCUAGAGAAUCUUUUCCCAGAAGAACGCCGCUGCAAAAGCUGAUGAUCGACUCGGGUGCUGCUGUGUAUGCACCGUGUGGUGCACGUCGCUGUCAAAUUCAUCCUUGUCUGAGUAUUUUGA